rnacentral:rRNA from 1 species
CNGCGGAGGGAUCAUUACCGAGUUUACAAACUCCCAAACCCUUUGUGAACCUUACCUAUCGUUGCUUCGGCGGGACCGCCCCGACGGCCACCUCGGUGGUCCCGGAACCAGGCGCCCGCCGAAGGCCCCAAACUCUUUGUUUCCUAUGGUUUUCUCCUCUGAGUGGAAAAUAAACAAAUAAAUAAAAACUUUCAACAACGGAUCUCCUGGUUCUGGCAUCGAUGAAGAACGCAGCGAAAUGCGAUAAGUAAUGUGAAUUGCAGAAUUCAGUGAAUCAUCGAAUCUUUGAACGCACAUUGCGCCCGCCAGUAUUCUGGCGGGCAUGCCUGUUCGAGCGUCAUUUCAACCCUCAGGCCCCCAGUGCCUGGCGUUGGGGAUCGGCCGCUGGCGUCCUUCGGGGCGCCUGGCCGGCCCCGAAAUCUAGUGGCGGUCUCGCUGUAGUCCUCCUCUGCGUAGUAGCACAACCUCGCAGUUGGAACGCGGCGGUGGCCAUGCCGUUAAACACCCCACUUCUGAAAGUUGACCUCGGAUCAGGUAGGAAUACCCGCUGAACUUAAGCAUAUCAAUAAGCGGAGGAAAAGAAACCAACAGGGAUUGCCUCAGUAACGGCGAGUGAAGCGGCAACAGCUCAAAUUUGAAAUCUGGGCCCAGGCCCGAGUUGUAAUUUGCAGAGGAUGCUUUUGGUGAGGUGCCUUCCGAGUUCCCUGGAAACGGGACGCCAUAGAGGGUGAGAGCCCCGUCUGGUCGGACACCGAGGCCUCUGUAAAGCUCCUUUCGACGAGUCGAGUAGUUUGGGAAUGCUGCUCUAAAUGGGAGGUAUAUGUCUUC